rnacentral:rRNA from 1 species
UACGAAGGGGGCUAGCGUUGCUCGGAAUCACUGGGCGUAAAGCGCACGUAGGCGGAAUCGUUAAGUCAGGGGUGAAAUCCUGGAGCUCAACUCCAGAACUGCCUUUGAUACUGGCGACCUUGAGUUCGGGAGAGGUGAGUGGAACUGCGAGUGAGAGGUGAAAUUCGUAGAUAUUCGCAAGAACACCAGUGGCGAAGGCGGCUACUGGUCCGAUCUGAC